AGGCUAAUUGGUCAACUUGCUUCCCGUCUCUACAUCUUCUGUUCUAAAAGGGAAAAUAGAUCCCCUUUCCCUUUCUAUGCUCUAUCGUGGUAGUCUUGGAAGUUUGGCUGUAUACCAAAUCGGUGGCAUGCCCUGCACCGAAGCUUUCGAGGAGAUGCUAGGCCAGCUCUGAGCGAGGAGGGGGCGGGCGUUCAAGCCGCCCAUCUUGCGCCGCCCACCGGCGAGGUCGCAUCUUGCCGGUUUGGAUUCGGUGAGGCAGACCGGCCACCAAGGAGUCCACAGGAGAAUAUGAGCGAUAACUACUUGUUAGCUUCCUCAAUUUUCUGCUCUCCUACUCAUGGCACCAGGAGUGAGAUAUGUGUCGUCGGGCUGGAUGACCAUUUUCUCUGUCGUCGUCUGAGCGGAGCAGAAUAGAGUCUGCAUGUGGAGGCGAGCUAUGGGCUUCCUCAUUGUUGGUGUUGUCGGCUUCCAGCUAUGUAAGGUGCUACGGAUUUGAAUCAUUCCUACUUCCUCCAUAGCGGCUGAUUGUCUACAGGUAUUUUUAUUUCUUGUUACCAUAUAUUAGCAAGUUAUAUUACUUAUAUGUGUAUUAAGUCCAAGAAAGACGGCUUACAUGUACUAACUGAAAUAUGGGUUCAUGCAAUGGAUUUUUCACAUGUGCUGGCUAUAUGUGGGAGCUAGCUUUCCUCAUGGUUCUGUUGACCUGAAAAAACCGUGGGAGAGGUGAACUGUUACGAGGAACAUAAAACUCAUGAAAGUGCAUGUCCCAAUGUAUUUAAAUAAAUACAAUGUGGCAUGCGUCUAAUAGUGCUUAUGUUACUACUGUUAUCACAGUUUUGGCCUAGUUUUCUGCUGAUUAACUUGGCAAUUCUCUUCUGCUUGAUUAAUUGAUUGAGGCCUUUGGCCUCCGCUUUCGAAAAUAAAUAAAUAUACCACUGUUAUCUAAUAAGUCUUCCUUAUAUUAAUGGAUGCCAAGUAUUCCUACUCUAUAUAAGUAAAUACAAAUAGUAUGUCUUCCUACUUACUUUCAACAAUUAAGAUAUAAUCUUCCGCGCUUCUUCAGAUUUCACAUCCAAUGAGUUCAUCAAGUUCAAGACAAAUGUAUUAAGAUUCUUUUAUCACCCUCAUUAAAGAAAUUGCAGCUUGUAGUAGUUGUACAACCACUAAUUUGGAGUUGAAUACUAAGCCUACGAUACAAUUAUAUUUUGUGCAAAAAACUAUCACCACAUGGCAUAUACCAACAUCAAAUAUAUUUUUGUAACAUAUCUAUUGUAGAUAUUGGCACGGAUGCAAAAUCCUGAGUAAGUUACGCAAAAAAUUAAAGUUAGCAAUCUGAAGAAGUUCAGACACAUUACUAAGUCGAAUAUGGCUCCAUAAGGUUAUAACCUCUGUUUUUAAGGCGUCCGUAAGGCGUCGCUUAGGCGACGCCUAGGCGUCAGGGCGCCCUCCAGGCUCAGGGCGUCGGCCUUGCCUUAGACAGUCGUGUAAGGCGUCCGCCUUAGGCUGUAAGGCGUCUGAAGCGUCCGCCUUAGCGCCGCCUUGCACGCCUCAGACCAAAUCGGACGCCUUAGCUUGUCAGGCAGGGAAACAGAGAUUGCAGGCGGGAAAACUGACCUGGGCGGGAACACAGGCAUGGGAAACAUUGGUUCAGGUGCGACCAGUUAUGGGAAGGGGAAAGAGAGAGUGAAUCGACGCGAGAGGUCUCUCCUGUCUCCUCUCUGGACCAUUGACGGAGGCUUCCUCCUCAGAUCUGCGGCAGCCGCCAGCCUCCUCCCUCCGGCCACAGUUCCUCCCCCUCCUCUCUGGCUGCAGCUCCUCCCCAUCCUCCUCUGGCGCAACCCUCUUCCAGCAGAUCAGCACCACAUCAAGUAGCCAGGUGUACCUGCUCUGAUGGAUCUAGCCAAUGAUCCUAGGAGAAGAGCUACAUCAGAUGAUCCAGCCUGGAAGUAUGGGUUCUGGCCAGAUUUAGAGAGGAAAGAUUUACUCCAGUGUACAUUGUGUGGCAAGAUAGUCCAUGGUGGAGUGAGAAGGCUAAAGCAGCACUUUUCUGGGGGUUCCAGUGAUGCGGAUAAGUGUCCCGAGGCAUCCAUGGAGAUUAGGAUAGAGAUGCACAAUUCCUUAAACACUAGAAAGUUUAAAGCUAUGGAGCGAUAUAUUGAUGAGGAGGAUGAAGCUGAACUUCAAAGGCGCCGUUCUGUCAUAUACACAAGAUGAUUUGAGGCCUAUGCUUUGGUAACAGUUUAUAUGUUAAUGUUAGUUGUUAAAUCUCCUAAUUGGUGGCCAUCUAUUAUAUAUGUAUGUACAAUUUAUUAAGUUAAUGCUAGUUGUUAAAUCUCCUAAUUGGCUGCCAUAUAUUAUAUAUGCACGUGUCUAAGGCGUCGCCUCGCCUUACGCUUUAGCGCUUAGGCGGUGAGGCGCCCCCCCCCCCCAGCGCCU